rnacentral:rRNA from 1 species
UACGUAGGGGGCAAGCGUUGUCCGGAUUUAUUGGGCGUAAAGCGCGUGUAGGCGGCUAGGUAGGUCCGCUGUGAAAACUUGAGGCUCAACCUCAAGAGGUCGGUGGAAACCAUCUAGCUAGAGUCCGGAAGAGGAGAAUGGAAUUCCUGGUGUAGCGGUGAAAUGCGCAGAUAUCAGGAAGAACACCCGUGGCGAAGGCAGGUCUCUGGGCCACUACUGACGCUGAGAAGCGAAAGCAUGGGGAGCGAACAGG